CAAAACGGCCUGAUCUUCUGGUACCAAGUAUUGCUGAUUUCAGUGAUGAUCUAAAAGCAUUAGUUUUGCUCCCAGAACUUUUGCCCAGCCCAAAUUAUGGUAAAGGAAGAGGGAAAAAGAGUAAAGGCAAAACAAGUAUUUUGGCAUCAGGCUGUUAUUUACAAAAAAAAAAAAAAAAAAAAACAUUCCAAAUUCUGCACUUCUAAUAUUUGCUAAUGUAAGUAUUUAUGAGUUUUGUAUGUUUUGCACUUUCAUUUUAAGAGGGCAGAUCAUAUUUAAACGAGCCAUUUUACAACAGUGAAUGUAUUUGGCCUCACGUGGCUAAAAUUCAUGUUCUCAAGCUGCUUUCAACUGUUGUACCCACAGAUGAUGCAUCGUCAUUUAGCUAAUUUUUGUAGAAUUGAAAUGGCAUUGAUUUGAAUGUCACCUACAUACUAGCAAAUAUUUCGAGAGAAUAAGAAGGUUUGUAUUAUGUGUGAUGUCUUUGUAUCAUCUAAAGCAUGACAGUAAUCAUUUCUAUGCAUGUAUCAUAUAGUGA